AGGACUUUGGGAAUAUAGGGUUAUGGGAAUGUAGGGCUUUGGGAAUAUAGAUUUAUGGGAAUAUAGGGUUAUGGGAAUAUAGGGCUUU